UUCUUUUUUUCUGCCUACUUGCGCUGAAGUUUUUUUCCAGAUUUAACAGAGAUGAGUUUAGCCUUUGUCUAUUUGCGAAAUUCGGGUGUAAACGGAGCCACCAUUUCUGGCUCGAUGCAAAAGCAUCUAUCUGUAUAGGGAAACUAACCGAACAUGACACAUUUUUAAAAUUAGUCAAAAAUGGUAGCUCUAUUUUCAAAACAUGGUCCAAAUAUUCGUAACACCAAAUGGGCCGAUCAUAAUUUGAUGCUCAGAGCGACAGAUGAUCUUUGAAGUUUGGCAGCUUUUUGUUAAAAUUGUCAUUACUGACUCAUCAGUGAAUGGAAAUCAUUAGUAGUUUCCAAUCACUGAUGGAUAUUUUGAUCGGGUAUCACUAAUGAUUUGGUGUCUCUCCGUUUAACUCGGUCAAAUGUACUCAAUUUUGUUUGAAUUCCUUGGGAUUGACUACAGGUUUUUUUCCCUACUCCUGUUUUUUUUCUUUCUUUCUUUUUUUUUUUUAGUUUAUAAAAAAUCAAUUUAAAAAUACCCACAAUUUCUCUUUCCAGGAACUGUGGUAACUCUAUUGAUAAGUUUAUUUUUCCCUCCUGUGGAGCACAGUACUUAUUUCCACAAGAAAAAGUUCAAGGCUGAUCAGAAAGUCGAUUAUGAUGUCAUUCGAGGGAAUUCAGAUUCCAGAGCUCCAGACGAUUUACAAGAUGCUUAUGACACAGGUGACAACUCACACCGAGAAAGUCUCACUGAAUGCACAAAAAUGAUUCCGUUAUAUCGCACCUAUGGCAUGACUUCAAGACUGCUUUCUCGAAUCCAAUUGUAAUAAAUGGGCUUCUUGGCUGGUCUUCGCUAAAGGAUGUCAUUUUUUGGUGUUGACUUAAAAUCAAAUUUUAUGGCAAACCGUGGCAAAGGAACAAAAAACUGUCCCUCUGAUGAAUGGAGCGGUUGAGGCUAUUUCCACGAUCACAAGUGCUGGGGCAGCUUACAUAGUUGCCAGGAUGUCGAGUGACUGGCGAAAGGGGCACAGCACAUUUUUAUUCCUCAGCUGUAUUUGCUGCAGUGCUCUUUUGUUCUACUGCGGCUUGUCCACCAACUUGUGGACUGUCUACAUAGCUUACAUUGCCUAUAGUUUUAUUUUCCAGUCUACACUCACCGUUACUGAGUCGCAAAUAGCACAGAACAUCCAGCGCGAUAGUUACGCUUUGGUGUUCGGGUUCCUGAAUUUCUUGGCUUUCAGUUUGACAAGUUUAUUCACAGUUUUCGUUAUUCAGCAUUCAUUCCUUAAAGUGAAGCCCACCGCCCAUCAACAGGUUAGUGCACAAUUUCUCACCUACAAAAAACUGGCUCCGUUGUUCCUCAAAUGAAGGUUUCAUGAAAAAAGGAAUGUAUUAAUCAAAAACGCUCCACGACGGGGAAAAAAUGGCAAUAAUAAAAUAGGAUGACCGUAACAAGGCUUGACUGAAACGAUGGAAGAUCUGUCAAUAAAUGUAAUCGUCCUCGGCAAAAUUAAUCGCGGUCCACAAUAUUUAAAAUUGCUCAAUUUGACACCACAGCACAAAAAAAGAGUCUUUCACGGAAAUGUUGAGACAAAAUCCGCUAAAAAACACUUAAAAAACCGUAAUAUUGGAAAGAAUUCCUUUGAUAUACUAGUCUGUCAUAUUCGGAGUACAAAAUAAUACUUUGGAAUAUACCGCUCGAAACGUGUUCCAACUAAAAGCAUUUUCCGUCGAAUUUUAUGAUCCGGCUUUUCAACCAAACCCGACCAAAGCGUCUUGACUAAGCAAUUUCUUUUCACGGCUUAAGGCCAAUUUUUCCGCGGACGAUCACAUGUGUAAAAUAUUUUAUUAUUAUGGCUCCUAAAUUGUUGAUAUAUACCGCACAAUGGAGUACCUGCAGGCAAUCUUGGUGACCCUAGGGUUCGAACGUCUAUAAAGAACCUGGAUUUUCCGAUGCAGCUUAUAUUUAUGUAUUUUUCGUGACGUCACUAAAAAUGUAGUGAGAGGGGCGACUUAUAACUCAUGGCUAAUUGGAAAGAGGGUUCUGAUUGGUUGCGAGAAAAAUGUGACGUAAGGCCAACUGUGGUAAAAUGUCAUUGACAUGAACAGAGUGAUUUCCUGAUAGAUAUGGUCGUGAGGUUAGAAAAUGAGACGAAGUGUACAAAUCCAAGAUUUUGGAACUAAAGCAGAGACGCUAAUGAGGGAAUGAGAGAUUGAUACAGUUGAUUACGUAUUAAUGGACUGAUCCUGUUUAUCAGAUCUCACGAGCUUUGAUCUGAAAAAUAAGUAGAAAAGUAACGCAGUGAUCUUAUUAAUAGGAACCAUCAGCCAGGGCGAAAAGCGCCACGAGGCACGUUUCUUCAUCAAAAUUUUACGAAAAACACAGAAAGCAUAUCGAUGGCGAAAGUCGGAAAAUGCGGAUCUCAGAUUGCGAUGUUUUAAAUUUUGCUCAUGUUAUAUUUCUUCGAAGGAAAAUCAAACAACAAUUUCUACCGCAAUUUUCUGCGGAUUUUCUUCGCUCAUUCUAUUAAAAAUCACUCAUGAUAAUUGCAAGGAAAACUGUUGAAUGACUUACCUUAUACAUAAUGGGAGAUGAAACGUACCAACCAGGGCCCGCAUUUUUCGCAUGUGCGAUAUUCCAAAUUUUGAAGUACAUAAAUCAUAAGUGAUCAAUAUCGGACCUUUCCAUUGUAAAAAAAAGGAAGGCCAUAUUUAGUACGGGUUUUCUUUAAAAAUAUGCACCUUCAGGUACAAAAGAGUUCAUUUCCUCCACUCAUUUAUGAUGAACUCUGUUUUGUAUUCAGUAAGAGUCAGCUGAUCAGAAUUUCUCGUAUCGAAAUAAAUCACUCACAUUCCCUAAUAAACGAAAGCAUUAAAGCCAAAUGGAGCAUUGAGAACUAAUCCAUUACUUUGAUUCCAAUUUCACAAAUUAUUUCAGCUCUCUUAGAUAAAUUUACAUUCUUCUAAAGAAAGUUGGGAUACAUAUACCAUGAGACGCACAAUUAGUUGGAAAAUGUUAUUUAUGAAUACUUUACAUUAACGUUAUUCGUCAAUAAGUAUCAUUUUCCAACUACAAAUACUACAAUCAUGUGUGCUUUGUGAUCAUACGUAUAUCUUCUGCAUAGUAUGUUUACCGCGUAACGGGGUGACACCUCUGUUAUCUUCAAACAUCCUCAUUUAUUUUUGUCUGUAAAGAACAGCUCAAAAACUGUUCCUGGUACAUUUUCAUUCUCAGAAUUUCCUGGGAUGCGUCCGCAGACUCCCUUCUCGAAACUGAGGGGUUCCCAGUUCCCUCAGACCCUCUUAGAGGUGCGCUCUUUUUUGACCCUACACCCCCCUCUUUGAAAAAAACUACCCUGUUCCACCCAUGGCAGGCGGUAGGGUGCUUGAAGUUGAAAGUGCCUGUAGUUCGAAGAAGUAGUCAUAAUUUUCGUUUCAAUAUUCUUAAUGAUGAUUUUUCUCAUGACUCAAUACGAGGAGGUUAUCGGAGUUUUUUACUGGUUCCUUUCUAACGCUAUCGAUUUGCUUGAAUUUUUUCGUCGGUUUAGAGCAUAUCAGUCAAAGAUACCAAUUUAAUGAAUGAAGAUAAGAACCUCGUGGUAAAGAGGUCAAUGAUUUACAUGCUUUCAAUUCUGGAAACUCCAGUUUCCUCUCCACUGCCAGGGUAUACAUUUCAAGAGGCUGGAACCAUAUCACAGUGCUAUACAUACUUUUGAUAUCGAUGGCUAAAGUGCGAAAUGUAGCCCUAUCGCGAUGUUUCUAAGUCCAUGCAUUUUCGAAGAGAAACAGUUAUCUACAAAGCUUGAAAUUUCUACAGAAUAUUCUGCCAGUAGAUAAGAAAAUCAAGGAAGCUUUCAAGUAAUUAAAUAGAUUAAUCCGCCCGCCCCCCCCCUAAAAAGUAGGGUCAGAAGUCUGCAGCGUCGCAAACAGAGAUACGUGGUUUCGCACUUUAUCCAUCGAUAUGUAUCUAUCGCAGCAAUUAGCAAUCGCCGCAAUUUGCAAUGCCAGUCGGAAUAAAUAUAGAAAAUCAAAAAUUCAAAUAAGAACAAGAUUAUAAUGCUGAUUAUGUUGCCUAUGAUGUGAAUAGACACUUUUCCAUCCAA
rnacentral:lncRNA from 1 species